rfam:Anoxybacillus sp. BCO1 LR68_contig000004, whole genome shotgun sequence.
GUGAAGUGAAUCACAAUCAAACAAACUUAUACCCCUUUGUUUGACCGUGAAAAAUUUCUCCCAUCCCCUUUGUUGUCUUUAUGACAAAGAAAAAGGACUCGGCUAAAUGCCGGGUCCUUUUU